UCCAGAAAAUAAAAAUAAAAAACCAGAAUCAAUUCUAUUACAAUCACCCUAACAUUUAAAUAACUUAUGAGUUAUGAACCUUUACCUAGUCUAUCAUCCUGAAUUACCAAUUCACGUUUCAUCUUCCCAAGCCUCCAUUAUCUAAAACUUUACCAUUCAAUCCUUCCCCUCAAAUCAUCUUCCCAAGCCUCCAUGAUUCAUCCUUUCGAAUCAUGGAAACUAUUUGAAUUUUAGGAUUUUGUAUCAAAUAUCCAGAUAAAAAGAGAUAAAUUAUGGAAACCCCACAUUAAUUUUAACAAUCGAACUAUUGGGGAUUAUAUGAUUUGAAAAUCAACUACUGAAAAUUUCAAUAAAAAACAGUUUGGAUCUUUCGCCGGAACUGUUGGUGGUUGUGGGUUUCGCCGGAAUUGAUGGUGGAAGGUGAGGGAAAGAAGAAAGUGAUGAAGCAAGAUGAGGAAUAUCUGAACGCGCUAAAAGGAAAAUGGGUUUUAUUUCAACAACGUUGUUACUGUAUCUAGAACUCAACAACGACCGUCGAAGAUGAAUCUGCAACGCCGAUUCAGUAAUUCUAACAUUUGAGUUCCCUUCGGCAGUUGAAACUUUCUCAUCCUCA
rnacentral:lncRNA from 1 species